rnacentral:rRNA from 1 species
UAGCGGCGGACGGGUGAGUAAUGCUUAGGAAUCUGCCUAUUAGUGGGGGACAACAUUUCGAAAGGAAUGCUAAUACCGCAUACGCCCUACGGGGGAAAGCAGGGGAUCUUCGGACCUUGCGCUAAUAGAUGAGCCUAAGUCGGAUUAGCUAGUUGGUGGGGUAAAGGCCUACCAAGGCGACGAUCUGUAGCGGGUCUGAGAGGAUGAUCCGCCACACUGGGACUGAGACACGGCCCAGACUCCUACGGGAGGCAGCAGUGGGGAAUAUUGGACAAUGGGGGGAACCCUGAUCCAGCCAUGCCGCGUGUGUGAAGAAGGCCUUUUGGUUGUAAAGCACUUUAAGCGAGGAGGAGGAGCUCUAGAUUAAUACUCUAGAUGCUUGGACGUUACUCGCAGAAUAAGCACCGGCUAACUCUGUGCCAGCAGCCGCGGUAAUACAGAGGGUGCAAGCGUUAAUCGGAUUUACUGGGCGUAAAGCGUGCGUAGGUGGCCAAUUAAGUCAAAUGUGAAAUCCCCGAGCUUAACUUGGGAAUUGCAUUCGAUACUGGUUGGCUAGAGUAUGGGAGAGGAUGGUAGAAUUCCAGGUGUAGCGGUGAAAUGCGUAGAGAUCUGGAGGAAUACCGAUGGCGAAGGCAGCCAUCUGGCCUAAUACUGACACUGAGGUACGAAAGCAUGGGGAGCAAACAGGAUUAGAUACCCUGGUAGUCCAUGCCGUAAACGAUGUCUACUAGCCGUUGGGGCCUUUGAGGCUUUAGUGGCGCAGCUAACGCGAUAAGUAGACCGCCUGGGGAGUACGGUCGCAAGACUAAAACUCAAAUGAAUUGACGGGGGCCCGCACAAGCGGUGGAGCAUGUGGUUUAAUUCGAUGCAACGCGAAGAACCUUACCUGGUCUUGACAUA